GACGAACGCUGGCGGCGUGCCUAAUACAUGCAAGUAGAACGCUGAAGGAGGAGCUUGCUUCUCCGGAUGAGUUGCGAACGGGUGAGUAACGCGUAGGUAACCUGCCUGGUAGCGGGGGAUAACUAUUGGAAACGAUAGCUAAUACCGCAUAAGAGUAGAUGUUGCAUGACAUUUGCUUAAAAGGUGCAAUUGCAUCACUACCAGAUGGACCUGCGUUGUAUUAGCUAGUUGGUGAGGUAACGGCUCACCAAGGCGACGAUACAUAGCCGACCUGAGAGGGUGAUCGGCCACACUGGGACUGAGACACGGCCCAGACUCCUACGGGAGGCAGCAGUAGGGAAUCUUCGGCAAUGGGCGGAAGUCUGACCGAGCAACGCCGCGUGAGUGAAGAAGGUUUUCGGAUCGUAAAGCUCUGUUGUAAGAGAAGAACGAGUGUGAGAGUGGAAAGUUCACACUGUGACGGUAUCUUACCAGAAAGAGACGGCUAACUACGUG
rnacentral:rRNA from 1 species